rnacentral:rRNA from 1 species
CCUACGGGUGGCUGCAGUGGGGAAUAUUGGACAAUGGGCGAAAGCCUGAUCCAGCCAUGCCGCGUGUGUGAAGAAGGCCUUCGGGUUGUAAAGCACUUUCAGUGGGGAAGAAAGCCUUGGGGCUAAUACCCUCGAGGAAGGACAUCACCCACAGAAGAAGCACCGGCUAACUCCGUGCCAGCAGCCGCGGUAAUACGGAGGGUGCGAGCGUUAAUCGGAAUUACUGAGCGUAAAGCGCGCGUAGGCGGUCUGAUAAGCCGGUUGUGAAAGCCCCGGGCUCAACCUGGGAACGGCAUCCGGAACUGUCAGGCUAGAGUGCAGGAGAGGAAGGUAGAAUUCCCGGUGUAGCGGUGAAAUGCGUAGAGAUCGGGAGGAAUACCAGUGGCGAAGGCGGCCUUCUGGACUGACACUGACGCUGAGGUGCGAAAGCGUGGGUAGCAAACAGGAUUAGAUACCCGGGUAGUC